AUUGAACGCUGGCGGCACGCUUAACACAUGCAAGUCGAACGGCAGCAGCAUCAAGCUUGCUUGAUGGCUGGCGAGUGGCGGACGGGUGAGUAACACGUAGGAAUCUACCCUGAAGAGAGGGAUAACCCGGGGAAACUCGGGCUAAGACCGCAUAAUCUCUGAGGAGGAAAGGUGGCCUCUAUUUAUAAGCUAUCGCUUUAGGAAGAGCCUACGUCGGAUUAGCUAGUUGGUGGGGUAAAAGCCUACCAAGGCGAUGAUCCGUAGCUGGUCUGAGAGGAUGGACAGCCACACUGGGACUGAGACACGGCCCAGACUCCUACGGGAGGCAG
rnacentral:rRNA from 1 species